rnacentral:rRNA from 1 species
AGUGAACGCUGGCGGUAGGCCUAACACAUGCAAGUCGAACGGCAGCACAGUAAGAGCUUGCUCUUACGGGUGGCGAGUGGCGGACGGGUGAGGAAUACAUCGGAAUCUACUUUUUCGUGGGGGAUAACGUAGGGAAACUUACGCUAAUACCGCAUACGACCUCCGGGUGAAAGCAGGGGAUCUUCGGACCUUGCGCGUUUGAUGGAGCCGAUGUCGGAUUAGCUAGUUGGCGGGGUAAAGGCCCACCAAGGCGACGAUCCGUAGCUGGUCUGAGAGGAUGAUCAGCCACACUGGAACUGAGACACGGUCCAGACUCCUACGGGAGGCAGCAGUGGGGAAUAUUGGACAAUGGGCGCAAGCCUGAUCCAGCCAUACCGCGUGGGUGAAGAAGGCCUUCGGGUUGUAAAGCCCUUUUGUUGGGAAAGAAAAGCAGCAGGUUAAUACCCCGCUGUUCUGACGGUACCCAAAGAAUAAGCACCGGCUAACUUCGUG